rnacentral:lncRNA from 1 species
UUAUAUACCCCUCAAAACUUCAAAAAUAUUUAAUUUAUUUUUUUUUUUCAAUAUAUUUCUCAUAUGUUUCUUUGUUAUUCCAAAAUAUUUCUAGAGUUACCAUCCAUUAAAGCUUAAUUUGGUAUUGAGAUCUAUCUAAUGCUAUUAGAUAAAAUGGAGUUGAGGAAAAAGCAUAUAGGGAUGGAUAUGCUUCUGCGUUCUCCGGUGGAACCGCAGAAAAUAUAUCGUAACCGAUCCGACUCAUCGCGAUAUGCGGAACUCAAUAUUACUUACGGAAACAAAUAGUAUAUUUUCCAUCGUACUUUCUCACCGCACGUAACGCAAUCUCCCCGCAAUUCCAAACGAAGCCUAAUAUGAAUUAAAUAUCUACCAGAGUUAAAAAAAAUCAAAAUAUCUCUUUUGUCCCUUACUUAAGGCAAAUAAGAAAUAUUGGUGAUGACAAAAGGGUAUGUUUGAAAAGACAAAAAAUUAAAAUAUUUUUUGUGCUCCUAAUUUAAGGGCAAAUAAAAAACGUCGGUGAUCGUAGAAGAGUAUAUGGGCAAAAUAGUAAUUUUACAGAGAUAACUGCUAUUGCUAACAGUUCAUUAACAAUUUAACUCUAGAUGUAUAUUUAAAAUAGGUUGGAACGUAAAAAAAAUAUUUUUAAUAUUAGUCUUUUAAGAUGGGUCAAUUAGGAAGUUGGAAACUUUUCAAGGUUAUAUAUAAGUAUUUGCCCCUAAAAGUAAUGUUCACAAGAAGCUUGACAAAAAAUUCGAAACACGAAUCUGAACUCGUUUCGAAAUCGAAGCAAUUAUUUCUCUUUACGAUAUUUCAAAAUAUAUUAUAUUAAAUCUUAAUUUUUAAAAUAUAAAUUCAAAUAUAACAUCAAACAUAUAUAUAUAUAUAUAUAUAUAUAUUAAUUUUAAAAUCA